UUAGUGUCUGUAUGGAAGGACUCUCACCCUGGAGACCGAAGAUCGUGUCUCGUUCCUGUCCCACGUGUCACU